CCUACGGGGGGCAGCAGUGGGGAAUAUUGGACAAUGGGGGCAACCCUGAUCCAGCCAUGCCGCGUGUGUGAAGAAGGCCCUCGGGUUGUAAAGCACUUUCAGUGAGGAAGAACGCCUGGUGGUUAAUACCCAUCAGGAAAGACAUCACUCACAGAAGAAGCACCGGCUAACUCCGUGCCAGCAGCCGCGGUAAUACGGAGGGUGCGAGCGUUAAUCGGAAUUACUGGGCGUAAAGCGCGCGUAGGUGGCUUGAUAAGCCGGUUGUGAAAGCCCCGGGCUCAACCUGGGAACGGCAUCCGGAACUGUCAAGCUAGAGUGCAGGAGAGGAAGGUAGAAGUCCCGGUGUAGCGGUGAAAUGCGUAGAGAUCGGGAGGAAUACCAGUGGCGAAGGCGGCCUUCUGGACUGACACUGACACUGAGGUGCGAAAGCGUGGGUAGCAAACAGGAUUAGAUACCCCAGUAGUU
rnacentral:rRNA from 1 species